CCCUGUGAUGCUCUUGACCUGUUAACCCUACAUGAAGAUACAACAUCAGUUGAUGCCUUUGGUUAUCAUGAUUCUGGCCAAUGAGCCCUGACCCAGAAUGACUUUCCAUGCAGACUGAAACCAUGAGAAAGUUCCUGCCGAUACAUUAAAAUAAUGAAGCCCAAUGUUCAAAUGGCAAACUACUUGGAGCUGGUGACAUGGCAAACUACUUGGAGCUGGUGACAUUAGCAGUUUGUUCUAGUGAACGUCAAAGAGCUCUAGAUUCCAACCUUUACAUCAUAAUGUGACCAAGGGAGCAGAUUCCUCUUGGGCUGAAUAUCAUCCUCAGAUGGCAGAGAUCUUGGACAUUCUUCAUCCUUAUAUCAAGGAACCUAAAAGCAUCACAGAACCAGGAAGAGACUUAACUGAGUUACUUUGAAUCAGGGUGAAGUUGGAAGAUGUUACACUGGCCAAUAGCACCUUAGAGUAAAUCAUCCUAGUGCAAUUGCCUUCACCCCAUAUUUUACUGUCAUAUUUUACUUGUUUUCACUGAUGCCUAAAUAAAAACUCUAUCUGCUAAUAA